ACCGCCACUUCAGUGUCGGAAGCUUCAAAAAUAACAUCUAAGCUCCAAAUCGACGAAUUAUAACAGAAGCGCACGUGCUAGCGCCUGCUGCAGCGAGCUCAAGAUGGCGUGUAGAACUUUGCUGGGAACCCUUCUCCUAUGGCUGCUGGCAGCUCCGGCUGUCCAUGCGUACCAAGACAAGAGUGAAAAGGACGCUUCUCAACCGUUAACUAUCAGUUUGAUGCGCUGGACGUACGACGGAGCUGCCGGGGCUAACAACACGACGAUGACUGUGUGCGUGCAUGAAACUUUCAUUUCCUCGAACGUCAUUUUCAAUGUAAUCUCGAACGAUUUGCAAAAAAGU
rnacentral:lncRNA from 1 species